CUUUGAGCACCGGGCGUUGCUUGAUGAGCAGCGUGAUUGGGUCACAGACAAGCUUUCUGCGGGUGCCGGCGUCGUGGGGGAGACGCCAUCGG
rnacentral:SRP_RNA from 1 species